rnacentral:rRNA from 1 species
UUCGCCUGUUUUACAAAAACAUAACCUUUAGCCAAACAAAUAUUAAAGGCAACGCCUGCCCAGUGAACAAUUAAACGGCCGCGGUACCCUAACCGUGCAAAGGUAGCGUAAUCAUUUGUCUAUUAAUUGUAGACCAGUAUGAAAGGCACAAUGAGGGUCCGUCUGUCUCUUAUAAUUAAUCAAUUAAACUGAUCUUCUAGUAAAAAAGCUAGAAUACACACACAAGACCAGAAGACCCUGUGAAGCUUAAACUAAACUAUUAAACCCUAUAAUACUUACUUUCGGUUGGGGCGACCUUGGAAAAAAAAAGAACUUCCAAAUACAUGACCAUAACUCACACAUCGGCCCACAAGCCCAUACGACCCAGUAUAACUGACAAUUGAACCAAGUUACUCCAGGGAUAACAGCGCCAUCUUCUUCAAGAGUCCAUAUCAAAAAGAAGGUUUACGACCUCGAUGUUGGAUCAGGACAUCCUAAUGGUGCAGCCGCUAUUAAGGGUUCGUUUGUUCAACGAUUAACAGUCCUACGUGA